UCUCCGGCCGUGAAAGCCUUCGACAAUACAUAAUAAUCAUCAUUUGCUUGUGUUUCCUUAACCUCUUGGCGUGCAUGGCAAAGCUGUCCGUAAACAUUCACAAUGCGGAUACAAACCCUCCAGCUGCAGAGCAUCCCCGCUUCCCACACAAGGAUAAAGGGGAUCAGGAAGGAAUUAUUUAAGGAAGGUGUUCAUUACACCGUGGCCAGAUCUUCCGCAGUUAAAAAUAACCUCUUACUCAUUUCUGAAGCUAACAACUCACAGGCGCCAAAAUAUAAUGAAGGCUUGGGGCUUGGCGAGAGGGUUCGAGCGUUUUCUGUGGGUUAUAAUUAAACCCCAUUCAUUUCUCUGAAGCUCCAGCGGGACACAAAGACAGUCCCAUCUAGUGAAACAGGUUGGUUACCACAGCUUAGCUUCCUAAUUAAGGACAUUUAUUUACAUUGUUUUUACCUUGCUUUCCUCCAAUUGCUCUGGAGAGCCUACAAACAGGCCACGGAGGCCACGGCUGCCCCCUGAUGUUGACUCCAAGCACUGGUUUACAGAGGUGGACUCACUUCUCCACUUGGAGCCAGCUGGGUGACCUUGGGUCAGUCACUUAAGAGCGGCAGGACUCUAAUCUGGAGAGCCAGGCUGCUUGCAGGUGCUUAUCUAAUGGACUGUAGAAACUUCCAGUGUUCGUGACCUUGUAGACUGCUCACUCCCAUGCCUUGCUAUGUCUCGACUUUGAUCUCUUGCUUUCUCACUGUCUCGACGUGAUAGUACAAAUAUGUGUGCCAAAAGUCUUGUUUACUGUUGGGAGGGGGGAAGGAGCAGCCAUGUAGGUCAAGAGGAAGGAUCUUCUCACAUGUUUCUAUUCCUGUCAAUCUUGCUCUUACUGCUGAGAUGCUUUUAUGCCUCUGAGUAAUUCUAUGGACAUAUAUAUGGAAAUGAUUUGAUUUCUGAAUAAAACCAUUUAACCAAGA